UACAGAGGUCCCAAGCGUUGUUCGGAUUCAUUGGGCGUAAAGGGUGCGUAGGCGGCGCGGUAAGUCGGGUGUGAAAUCUCGGGGCUUAACUCCGAAACUGCAUUUGAUACUGCGGUGCUUGAGGACUGGAGAGGAGACUGGAAUUCACGGUGUAGCAGUGAAAUGCGUAGAUAUCGUGAGGAAGACCAGUGGCGAAGGCGGGUCUCUGGACAGUUCCUGACACUGAGGCACGAAGGCCAGGGGAGCAAACGGG
rnacentral:rRNA from 1 species